CCUACGGGAGGCAGCAGUGGGGAAUUUUCCGCAAUGGGCGAAAGCCUGACGGAGCAACGCCGCGUGAGGGGUGAAGGCCUCUGGGCUGUAAACCUCUUUUCUCAAGGAAGAAGAUCUGACGGUACUUGAGGAAUAAGCCACGGCUAAUUCCGUGCCAGCAGCCGCGGUAAUACGGGAGUGGCAAGCGUUAUCCGGAAUUAUUGGGCGUAAAGCGUCCGCAGGCGGUCCAGAAAGUCUGCUGUUAAAAAGUGGAGCUUAACUCCAUCAUGGCAGUGGAAACUACUGGACUAGAGUGUGGUAGGGGCAGAGGGAAUUCCCGGUGUAGCGGUGAAAUGCGUAGAUAUCGGGAAGAACACCAGUGGCGAAGGCGCUCUGCUGGGCCAUAACUGACGCUCAUGGACGAAAGCCAGGGGAGCGAAAGGGAUUAGAUACCCCUGUAGUCCUGGCCGUAAACGAUGAACACUAGGUGUCGGGGGAAUCGACCCCCUCGGUGUCGUAGCCAACGCGUUAAGUGUUCCGCCUGGGGAGUACGCACGCAAGUGUGAAACUCAAAGGAAUUGACGGA
rnacentral:rRNA from 1 species